UAACACAUGCAGUCGAGCGGUAGCACAGAGAGCUUGCUCUCGGGUGACGAGCGGCGGACGGGUGAGUAAUGUCUGGGAAACUGCCUGAUGGAGGGGGAUAACUACUGGAAACGGUAGCUAAUACCGCAUAAUGUCGCAAGACCAAAGUGGGGGACCUUCGGGCCUCAUGCCAUCAGAUGUGCCCAGAUGGGAUUAGCUAGUAGGUGGGGUAACGGCUCACCUAGGCGACGAUCCCUAGCUGGUCUGAGAGGAUGACCAGCCACACUGGAACUGAGACACGGUCCAGACUCCUACGGGAGGCAGCAGUGGGGAAUAUUGCACAAUGGGCGCAAGCCUGAUGCAGCCAUGCCGCGUGUGUGAAGAAGGCCUUCGGGUUGUAAAGCACUUUCAGCGGGGAGGAAGGCGGUGAGGUUAAUAACCUUGUCGAUUGACGUUACCCGCAGAAGAAGCACCGGCUAACUCCGUGCCAGCAGCCGCGGUAAUACGGAGGGUGCAAGCGUUAAUCGGAAUUACUGGGCGUAAAGCGCACGCAGGCGGUCUGUCAAGUCGGAUGUGAAAUCCCCGGGCUCAACCUGGGAACUGCAUUCGAAACUGGCAGGCUAGAGUCUUGUAGAGGGGGGUAGAAUUCCAGGUGUAGCGGUGAAAUGCGUAGAGAUCUGGAGGAAUACCGGUGGCGAAGGCGGCCCCCUGGACAAAGACUGACGCUCAGGUGCGAAAGCGUGGGGAGCAAACAGGAUUAGAUACCCUGGUAGUCCACGCCGUAAACGAUGUCGAUUUGGAGGUUGUGCCCUUGAGGCGUGGCUUCCGGAGCUAACGCGUUAAAUCGACCGCCUGGGGAGUACGGCCGCAAGGUUAAAACUCAAAUGAAUUGACGGGGGCCCGCACAAGCGGUGGAGCAUGUGGUUUAAUUCGAUGCAACGCGAAGAACCUUACCUGGUCUUGACAUCCACAGAACUUUCCAGAGAUGGAUUGGUGCCUUCGGGAACUGUGAGACAGGUGCUGCAUGGCUGUCGUCAGCUCGUGUUGUGAAAUGUUGGGUUAAGUCCCGCAACGAGCGCAACCCUUAUCCUUUGUUGCCAGCGGUUCGGCCGGGAACUCAAAGGAGACUGCCAGUGAUAAACUGGAGGAAGGUGGGGAUGACGUCAAGUCAUCAUGGCCCUUACGACCAGGGCUACACACGUGCUACAAUGGCAUAUACAAAGAGAAGCGACCUCGCGAGAGCAAGCGGACCUCAUAAAGUAUGUCGUAGUCCGGAUUGGAGUCUGCAACUCGACUCCAUGAAGUCGGAAUCGCUAGUAAUCGUAGAUCAGAAUGCUACGGUGAAUACGUUCCCGGGCCUUGUACACACCGCCCGUCACACCAUGGGAGUGGGUUGCAAAAGAAGUAGGUAGCUUAACCUUCGGGAGGGCGCUACC
rnacentral:rRNA from 1 species